AGCAGCCGCGGUAAUUCCAGCUCCAAUAGCGUAUAUUAAAGUUGUUGCAGUUAAAAAGCUCGUAGUUGAAUUUCGGGAUCAGUAUGUUGGUCGUGCUUCGGUACGUACUGUCAUUACUGGUUUCUACCUUCUGAAGAACCUUGAUGUCAUUAAUUUGGUGUCUUGGGGAAUCAGGACUGUUACUUUGAAAAAAUUAGAGUGUUUAAAGCAAGCAUACGCUUGAAUACAUUAGCAUGGAAUAAUGAAAUAGGACGUUUGAUUCUAUUUUGUUGGUUUCUAGGAUCGACGUAAUGAUUAAUAGGGAUAGUUGGGGGCAUUAGUAUUCAAUUGUCAGAGGUGAAAUUCUUGGAUUUAUUGAAGACUAACUACUGCGAAAGCAUUUGCCAAGGAUGUUUUCAUUAAUCAAGAACGAAAGUUAGGGGAUCGAAGACGAUCAGAUACCGUCGUAGUCUUAACCAUAAACUAUGCCGACUAGGGAUCGGAUGAUGUUAUUUUUAAUAGCUCAUUCGGCGCCUUAAC
rnacentral:rRNA from 1 species